rnacentral:rRNA from 1 species
GUGUCAGCAGCCGCGGUAAUACGUAGGCAGCGAGCGUUGUUCGGAGUUACUGGGCGUAAAGGGUGUGUAGGCGGUUUUCUAAGUUUGGUGUGAAAUCUCCCGGCUCAACCGGGAGGGUGCGCCGAAAACUGGGAGACUAGAGUGCGGGAUGGGAGAGUAGAAUUCCUGGUGUAGCGGUGAAAUGCGUAGAUAUCAGGAGGAAUACCGGUGGUGUAGACGGCUCUCUGGACCGCCACUGACGCUGAGACACGAAAGCGUGGGUAGCAAACAGGAUUAGAUACCCCUGUAGUCC